rnacentral:rRNA from 1 species
GACAGAGGGUGCAAACGUUUGUUCGGAUUUACUGGGCGUAAAGCGCGUGUAGGCGGCUUUGCAAGUCGGAUGUGAAAUCCCACGGCUCAACCGUGGAAGUGCAUCCGAAACGGCAUGGCUGGAGUCCCGGAGAGGAAGGUGGAAUGCUUGGUGUAGAGGUGAAAUUCGUAGAUAUCAAGCAGAACACCUGCGGCGAAGGCGGCCUUCUGGACGGUGACUGACGCUGAGACGCGAAAGCGUGGGGAGCAAACAGGG